GGCCAUAGCUGCACCAAGCCUGCACCUAAAGCAAACAAUUUUGUGCUCAACAUUUCCUUGAUCUGCAUGUUACGGUCCCGGGGUCUAGGAAACCCAGGACGCACAACAUAUAAUGUCCAGAGACAAAGGUGUUUGUAAAAAGAGCUCAAGAUUUAUUGUACGGACAAAACAGAGGAAGCCCCACUUCAAAAACAAAASAAAAACAGGGAGGAAACCCGAACCAGCCAGCAGUUGACCGUCAGAUCCGGGCAACCUCCCCUUGCCCUCUGGUUCAGGGUCUCACCCUACAACCAAAAAACCGGAAAAAGAGGGGCUGGCAACUCUCAGGCCAAAACCAGGUAUCUGCAAGGAGGAAAAAGUGGAGCGGCGGCGAGGCUGGAGCGCAGGACCAACAAGCAAACUUCUCCCCUCAGGCCGCACGCUCAGCUGUCAGGUGGAGCUCAUUUCCUUUUAUUAUCCUCCCAGCCAAUCAGCUGAAAGGAGAGGACAUCAGACAAUUAGACAG